rnacentral:rRNA from 1 species
CCAGCUUGCUGGUGUGGAUGAAGUGGCGAACGGGUGAGUAAUACGUGAGUAACCUGCCCUUGACUCUGGGAUAAGCCCGGGAAACUGGGUCUAAUACUGGAUGCUACAUGUCACCGCAUGGUGGUGUGUGGAAAGGGUUUACUGGUCUUGGAUGGGCUCACGGCCUAUCAGCUUGUUGGUGAGGUAAUGGCUCACCAAGGCGACGACGGGUAGCCGGCCUGAGAGGGUGACCGGCCACACUGGGACUGAGACACGGCCCAGACUCCUACGGGAGGCAGCAGUGGGGAAUAUUGCACAAUGGGCGAAAGCCUGAUGCAGCGACGCCGCGUGAGGGAUGACGGCCUUCGGGUUGUAAACCUCUUUCAGCAGGGAAGAAGCCACAAGUGACGGUACCUGCAGAAGAAGCGCCGGCUAACUACGUGCCAGCAGCCGCGGUAAUACGUAGGGCGCAAGCGUUGUCCGGAAUUAUUGGGCGUAAAGAGCUCGUAGGCGGUUUGUCGCGUCUGCUGUGAAAGCCCGGGGCUUAACCCCGGGUGUGCAGUGGGUACGGGCAGACUAGAGUGCAGUAGGGGAGACUGGAAUUCCUGGUGUAGCGGUGGAAUGCGCAGAUAUCAGGAGGAACACCGAUGGCGAAGGCAGGUCUCUGGGCUGUUACUGACGCUGAGGAGCGAAAGCAUGGGGAGCGAACAGGAUUAGAUACCCUGGUAGUCCAUGCCGUAAACGUUGGGCACUAGGUGUGGGGGACAUUCCACGUUUUCCGCGCCGUAGCUAACGCAUUAAGUGCCCCGCCUGGGGAGUACGGCCGCAAGGCUAAAACUCAAAGGAAUUGACGGGGGCCCGCACAAGCGGCGGAGCAUGCGGAUUAAUUCGAUGCAACGCGAAGAA